GACGAACGCUGGCGGCGUGCUUAACACAUGCAAGUCGAACGGAAAGGCCUGCUUUCCCUUGUGGAUUGCGGGUACUCGAGUGGCGAACGGGUGAGUAACACGUGAGUUAUCUGCCCCCAACUUGGGUAUAAGCCUGGGAAACUGGGUCUAAUUCCCGAUAGGACUGCAGGGUGGUGCCUGUGGUGGAAGACGAUUUUCUAGUGGUUGGGGAUGAGCUCGCGGCCUAUCAGCUUGUUGGUGGGGUAAUGGCCUACCAAGGCGGCGACGGGUAGCCGGCCUGGGAGGGUGGGCGUGCACGUGUGGACUGAGAUACGGCCCAGACUCCUACGGGAGGCAGCAGUGGGGAAGAAUGCACAAGGGGCGGAAGCCUGAGGCAGCGACGCCGCGGGGGGGAUGACGGCCUUCGGGUUGUAAACUCCUUUCGACCGCGAGGAAGCCACCUGGUUGGAAGGGUGGUGACGGUAGUGGUAGAAGAAGCACCGGCUAACUACGUG
rnacentral:rRNA from 1 species